rnacentral:rRNA from 1 species
UGUGACAUACCUACUGUUGCUUCGGCGGGAUUGCCCCGGGCGCCUCGUGUGCCCCGGAUCAGGCGCCCGCCUAGGAAACUUAAUUCUUGUUUUAUUUUGGAAUCUUCUGAGUAGUUUUUACAAAUAAAUAAAAACUUUCAACAACGGAUCUCUUGGUUCUGGCAUCGAUGAAGAACGCAGCGAAAUGCGAUAAGUAAUGUGAAUUGCAGAAUUCAGUGAAUCAUCGAAUCUUUGAACGCACAUUGCGCCCGCCAGUAUUCUGGCGGGCAUGCCUGUCUGAGCGUCAUUUCAACCCUCAUGCCCCUAGGGCGUGGUGUUGGGGAUCGGCCAAAGCCCGCGAGGGACGGCCGGCCCCUAAAUCUAGUGGCGGACCCGUCGUGGCCUCCUCUGCGAAGUAGUGAUAUUCCGCAUCGGAGAGCGACGAGCCCCUGCCGUUAAACCCCCAACUUUCCAAGGUUGACCUCAGAUCAGGUAGGAAUACCCGCUGAACUUAAGCAUA